UGAUGAUUUGCCUGAAUGUGAACUAAAUCACUUCAAACCAGGGGUAAGUCUCAGUAUCAUCAUAAAAGCUAAACCCUUGCCGCCUGACGGUGAGGGUUUUCUUUUGGG
rnacentral:sRNA from 2 species